AUUCUUUUCAUCUGUUUACUCUUGCUCUUGUCCACCACAAUAUGCUACUCACAUGUUCAGUGUAGUUUUAUGACAAAGAGAAAAUUUUCGUGAGUUACUUUUGUAUCCCCACCCCCUUAAAGAAAGGAGGAAAAACUGUUUCAUACAGAAGGCGUUAAUUGCAUGAAAGAGUCAUCAGAAGAGGAAAAAUGAAGGUAAUGUUUUUUCAGACAGGUAAAGUCUUUGAAAAUAUGUGUAAUAUGUAAAACAUUUUGACACCCCCAUAAUAUUUUUCCAGAAUUAACAGUAUAAAUUACAUCUCU
rnacentral:lncRNA from 1 species